rnacentral:lncRNA from 1 species
GAGAUCUGGUACAGGUGGGAGGAGAGAGUCACGAUGUAGCCGCUGCUGGAAUAUCGCCGGGCUGGACGACCUAAGCCGAUCCAAACCAGUCGAGGCCCUUGUCCUCGUUCUCAAGGGAGCUCAGGGCAGCUGCCUUCCUCUCUCCGGUUCCCCCGACGGCAUCCUCCCCUCCAGCCGGCCGAAGGCCAAACCCAGAAACGAGAGCCGACGGGCCGAAGCCCCAGCCCGAGCCGCCCCAGCUCCGCCCCAUGACGCUGGGAUGAUUUGAAGAAGAGUAAGAGUAAGUAGGAAGCGGGUUCUAGCCCGGUUUCU